GUGGAACCUCUGCGCUUGUCAGUCGCAGCCAGAGUGUCUCAGAUGACGCACGUGUCUGCGGAGAACCAGGCGACCUUCUUGAGACUUUUGAACACUCUCCUUCUCUUUUGCUUUGCUUCUUCUGACUUGUUUCUUGUCCAUCGGAUGCAUCAGUGCCGUUGCAUUGUUGGAGGAUAUUGACUAUAGUCUGGAGUGCGCUUGUGCAAGAAAAUGCAGAGAACGUCAACCUUUAACUUUGUGUCCUGUCACAAUGAAGAUCAACUGCCAGCUGGCUGCAGCAUGGAGAUGGAAACAAGAGUGGGUGGUUGGAAGGCUGGAUAAAAGCUGCUAGAUGACUGAACUCAGGGACCCGGCACAGCUCAUCAUCAUUGCCAAGGGCUCUCGUCUUCCUCCUCUCCUCCUGUGGCCCUUACCUCCAUCCAGGGGUCCAGCAGAGACAGUGAAGACCGGGCGGGGAACGAGUGAGUGGGCUGGGUAGGAUGGAGAGCGUCCCUGAAGGCUAGAAGCACCUCUGGAGCUACCGGCGUGCAGGAUAAAUCAAUACAAACAUGCAGAGUCUGCGCAGCUCAGAGUGGGGCUUCCUGUAUUCGUCUGUGGCCCGGGGCCUGCAGACCUCUGAAGGACAGGCCCUGCAUGGCCCUCACAGCUGCAGCCCCAGCUCCUCACACCGGACCCGAGUCCUGAUCUCCGCUGGCUGUGUGUGGUUCAGCAGAAGGCCAUCUCCUCCCAAAUAACCUCCCGAAUGUUAAGCGACUGCCGAGGGGGAUGUUACAUCCCCUUGAUUUUUCCCCUUUCCUUCCUAAGAUUGACACAUCUCACACCUUCUGCCUGUAGCUGUUUAAAAACCAGUUUGGGAGCUCUGCUUUUGACUUCCUCUUCAUCCCCAGCUCACCCUUUGUUUAUUCCCCAACCAGCUUUUACAUUUGACAAAGAGACAGUGCAGUCUUUAUUUUCUCCCACUCCUGGCUUGUUGUUACUAUGGAGACCUGUAGACAUGUGCCUGUUAAAUUCAGAAACGCUGGCACAUGGAAUAUCCUUUUCCCCUCCAUCGUUUUUGGUAUUCAGUUUCAGACUGUUAAACUGCAAAGAGGUCAGAAGAUCCCAAGAGGGCAGAGAGGGCAUCCUGCCCUGUGGUAGAGAUGGUAAAAUGGUUUUUGUGGCCGUGAGUGAAAAAUCAGAAACCAAACAAAAUGAGGACUUCAAGACAACAUUGGAACAUUCUUUCAUAUUUGAAUUUAUUUUCUCCUGCAUUAAACACACGACUUAUCCUGUUUUUUCUCAGAUAAAAAAUCCUCUUUUUUUUUUGCUGUAUUUCGCAAAUUGACUCAACUAAAAAUGUUUCAUUGAAUUCAUGGAUGUGCUGUAAAAUCCUGAAGUCAAUAAAAUGGUAUUACAUCCCUCUGCUUUUAUUUGUGGUUUUGAACAUCAGUCACAUCUAUUUUCUCCAUCGCUUAAACUGGAACACAAAACAUGUGGACCGGGAUGCUCUUAUAAAAGUAAAAAUCAUCAUAUAAAAGAACAGUUAUGCAAACAUGAUCAUAUAAACUGAUGUUGGGUCAGAUCAGACUGCUUCAGGUCAUCAGAGAGAGUCAAAAUCCAACAUUCUUAAAAUGUGUGUAAAGUGCAGUCUGAAUUUUGAUAGAAUACAGUCCCACAGAGCUCUUUGUUCAUUUUUUCAAAAUACAAAACGGUUUUGUUUACAGUCUCAAGACACCAUUAACUGUAAAUCUCCCGUAUUUAUAGUAAUUGGUCAUAAUUGGUGCUCUAUCUUCAUGUUACAUUGAGUGACAAUUUUAGGGGAAAGGAAAGCUAAUUAUUACCAUUAUCUUAUUUGUUUUACACAAAUGGAUUAAAACCAUCUAAAAGCAUGAAUUCCA
ensembl:lncRNA